UACGAAGGGGGCUAGCGUUGUUCGGAAUCACUGGGCGUAAAGCGCACGUAGGCGGAUAUGUCAGUCAGGGGUGAAAUCCCGGGGCUCAACCUCGGAACUGCCUUUGAUACAGCAUGUCUUGAGUCCGAUAGAGGUGGGUGGAAUUCCUAGUGUAGAGGUGAAAUUCGUAGAUAUUAGGAAGAACACCGGUGGCGAAGGCGGCCCCACUGGAUCGGUACUGACGCUGAGGUGCGAAAGCGUGGGGAGCAAACAGG
rnacentral:rRNA from 1 species